rnacentral:misc_RNA from 1 species
GUAGGUGAACCUGCGGAAGGAUCAUUAUCACGUAUCCACGUAUAAACCAUUGUGAACUGUUCUAUCACCUUUGUUGGUUAGUGAAUGAAGCCUGAUGUGUUCUCUCCGGAGUCGCGUCGGUGGAGUUCAAUUUCCGCAAAGUGUAUUAACCUUAUAUUAACCAUUUUAACCCAAUCUUUAUAACUUUUAUGAACUAAUUUUUAUUUUAUACUCUUCGGAGAUAAAAUUCAUUACGAAACAAAGAACAACUCUUAGCAACGGAUAUCUUGGUUCUC